rnacentral:rRNA from 1 species
GUAGGGAAUAUUGGGCAAUGGAUGCAAGUCUGACCCAGCCAUGCCGCGUGGAGGAAGAAGGUCCUCUGGAUUGUAAACUCCUUUUUUGGGGGAAGAAUAGUUCUCUUGCGAGGGAAUGUGACGGUACCCUAAGAAUAAGCCACGGCUAACUACGUGCCAGCAGCCGCGGUAAUACGUAGGUGGCAAGCGUUGUCCGGAUUUAUUGGGUUUAAAGGGUGCGUAGGUGGUUUGAUAAGUCAGUGGUGAAAGCUGGUUGCUCAACAAUCAAGUUGCCAUUGAUACUGUCGGACUUGAGAGAAGUGGAGGUUCAUGGAAUGGAUGGUGUAGCGGUGAAAUGCAUAGAUAUCAGCCAGAACGUCGAUUGCGAAGGCAGUGGGCUGUACUUUAUCUGACACUGAGGCACGAAAGUGUGGGGAUCAAACAGGAUUAGAUACCCGAGUAGUCC